CUCAUUAAUGCUUUAUUAUGGAAAUUCACUCCAUGUUGACCAUUAGAGGUCAGCAAAAAUCUGGUCAACAGCGCCUUGCGUUUUCUUGGACAAAAGAAAACUUGUUUUUUUUCUGUCAAAAUCCUUGUUUUGUUCACACUGUCAAGUUCUUCCACACCACCAGAAAAACCACACAUUCCUUUCAUAACAUGAACAAAAGAUGAGGUUCUUGGUAUGCCAUAGGAAUUCAGACAGAAGCUUUGAGAAAGGCAGUUAAUGCUAUGGAACCACAACAAAACUGAGUUGACAAAGCCAUGUUCCCACUGCUGUUCUACAGAUAACAAUAAAACUAUACACUAACUUCCGACAUCUGCAGUAGGACCAGUAGGUCUGUGUUGCAACAUACUGCAAAGAAACACUACAGAUGGUGACAGAGUUGAGAGGAAGGAAGGAAGCAAGGAAGGAAUGAACGAACCAAGGAAGGAAGGAAAGAAGGGAGGGAGGAAGGGAGGGAGAUGGUCCAUGAGUGGCAGUGCUGUGCCAGCCAGAAAUGAACUAUCAAAUAUGGUCUCAUUCACAUCUUCUCCACCAUCUAUCCGUAAUCUCAAGGGACACUGAAUAACAGAGGCUCCCACCGUUCUGAAAUAGAAACAUGUUCAGCCAUUUCCAGUGCCUCCUUUCUUCUCUUUCUUUUCAAAGAGAAACUUUAUACAAUAAUAAAAGCUGUAAAAUAGCAGAGCUCCAUGAGUGCAGAGGAGGAGUAUUUAAAAUGAAUUAAGAAAAUAUUAGGCAGAAAAUGAGCCCCAGAGCUCACACUCCCCCUCCAUCUUCUGCAGGCAGAAGCAGCAUCUGGGACAGCCAGGGCUGCCAGCAGUGCAGGAGAGCACUGCCACCACGUGCAAACCCAGCUUCUCCGCAUCCCCCAUGUCAGGAGACCAAUUUUUAAAACCCAAUCAUCUUUCUCUCUCUUCAGUCUCUCAUCUUAAUGAAACUGUCACAAGUCCAGUAGGUGGUCUGAUUGGCUUUUUUGGGCUUCACAAGCUAUAAUUUCUUCAUCACUUCAUCAUUUUUGCACUGUGAAUUACUAUUUCAGCCUGUUCUUUCACCUUCUUUUUAAUCAUCAGCUUUUUAAGUAAUACCACAUAGGUGAAAAAUACUAAUAUAACAGUCAUUUUAACAGCUGGUUAAAUUAACUCUGUGAUGGCAGGGCAUGCAGCAAUUUGUGAAGUGCACAAGUGAAGAGGUGUUCCAGUGGUGCUGAGAAGAUGGAGUACGGCUUCAGAACCUGGAAAACAAAAUUAGGUCCUAUCUACGUGGGGAUGCUGAGGAAACUCAAGCUGAGCUAAUUGAAGGUGUGAAUUUAAAUUAGAUCAGAAUGGGGCACUGCUAUUCUUCACAAUGAGUAGACAAUGAAGGAAAUGCUCAUAAUUGACCAGCAAAUGAUGCAAGACCUAUACAAACAGAAUAAAAGAUCUCCUGGUCUCUAAGUAAAAAAGGUAACAGUUCAUUUGCUUUUCUUUUCUCAUACUACUACUAAUAACAAUAUAAAUGUUUGUACUUAUCAUGUAAAUAUUUGUACUAUCAAUGCAAUCAAGGAGUUCAAGCAAAAAAAUCCUUUGCAUAUAAACCAGCAGAGGAUCACCAGCUACUUCCUUUCAGAAUCAGACAAAAUCUGGGAUGAGAGCUUUAUUCCACUCUAACUCAGCCUCCAAAAACAGUCUGUGCCUGUUUCAAUCCUCUGGAUGCCAGCAAAACUGUGCAGAAUUGCUAUGAACAAUACACUAGGCAAAGCUAACAAGCAGUUCCUUCCUUUGCAUUAUGGUUAAAGGUAAGGGAAAUAAAACAAAGGAAAUGCUAAAGGCUGUUAGAAGAUGUUGUAGUUUAUUCCCAGAUUCAUAACAGCAGAGUAGAUAAUACAGCAAUGUGCUAUCAUCUGUUUCUUGGCAAUAGGCUGUACGAAGUCAUACUGCUACUUACCUUUAAUAAAUAAGUUCCCACUAGUGCUUCUCACACAUUAAUUAUUGUACAAAUCCCAUGAGUGAAAAUAAAAGUUCUGCAGAUAGGUAUUCUCCCUCCUCGCAUUAGCAAAAGUUAAAUGUUAGGAAAGAAAACCACUGAGAACACAGAGAGGACUGGUGAAUCACGUGCUUAAUUGAGAAAACCUGACCCAGCCAAGUGGCUACAAAACAAAAUGAGCAAAACAAAAACUCUUAUAAUCUAGCUCUUACAUGACAAUGUGAGACUCUGCCAUGCAUGAUCUUUCCAGGGCAUCUGCAUCUAGCUCAGUACAUGCAAACCAUAGCAUCCCCUAGUAAUUUCUGUAUAGAUACAUUAUUAGCACAAGUCACAGCCAAAAUGAAUCUCAUUUGUUUCCUGUGAAGAGCCCAGAUCAGGCAGGAGCAAUGUCAGACAGUGCUCAUCAGGCACCCUGGUGAAUGAGGCUUGGUGUAAUUUAGAUGCCCUGCCUCAGGGAGAAACUACAAAGGCCAAAUGGUCUGGGUGGUUUUCAGAGAAAAUAAAAUGGGAUAAGAACCUGAGACAUGCACUUUCUACUGAAGUCUUCAAGAUGGUUUUCAAAUUCAGGCAAAAUCCUCAAGGUGGGAGUUGCAAAGAAAGGCAAGAAGAGAAGGACAGCACCUAGCUUUAAAACACUUCCUAAAUAAAUUUUGGCAGUGCUUCAACAUUAAAGCUUUUGGGGCUGGAAAUUGAGGGAGCCUGGCCAGGCUGACAAACAGAGGACAUAGCACUCCCAAUACAGCAGUGAAGAACAGCCCUGUGAGAGGGAGCUAGAUGCCAAGGACUCACAUGCAAAAGGGAGCUGAGAAGCUAAGCCCCAAACAGAUGAGGAGGAGGACAAUACUCCCAGAUACUGUUUUGGCAGAAGAGAAGAAAAUACAGUGAAGGAUACUAAGCAACUGAAAGGAAAGACCAAACACCUGUUUAUGUUACAAAAUUAAAGAAAUCAGGAGAAAAAUCCUGAUUAAAACUGAUUAAAAAUAUAUAUUUCAAGCCCUAAAAAUAACUCAGUAGUGAAGCAAAGAGAAAAAGAAGGUCACACAGGACACUUACAUUAGGCAGGAUAAGCCCUUGUAAAUGUGCAGUAGGGAUUAAUUGCACUUUGGAAGUGAUGUACUAGAUGACCUACCAUAACAGUUCUGGAGAUAACUAACAGCAAGAAUAAGUCAUUUUGAAAAUUCAUCAGGGAAGCAUAGUGUUGCAAAGAUUCACAGAAGAAAUGGCUGUGUUCUUCUGCAUGGUAAUAAGAAAAAGCACAAAAGGACAGAUUUUCUACCAAGUACAUCAAUUUCCUCAGUAUACUGGUAACCACCUAUCUACAAGGGAUGUUCCAAAAGUAUGGCCUCCUAUUUUAUUAUGUUGGCUUACGAUUUCAGAGGUGGAUGUUGGUGAUGUGACAGUAGAAGUUGAACAUUCUCACCAAUGUUGUUGCCAUGCAACAGAUGGCAGUGGAGGGGCAGUGUGACACAAUGGCAUCUGACGUGGAAGUGCACAGAAAGCAAAGGUGUGUCGCUGAAUUCCUCCAUGUGGAAAAAUUUGCACCCAUUGAUAUUCAUCAACUUUUGCUGAAUGUUUAUGGGGACCAGACAGUGGAUGUGAGCACAGUGAGUGGUAGGUGGUGCAUUUCAGCAGUGGAGACAGUGAUUUGAAAGGCAAGACACAUUCCAGACAGCCAUGCAGAUUUUUACAGGCAUGGCAUGCAGGUUCUUGCUUAUUGCUGGGGAAAACGAAUAGCUAAUGGAGAUGACUGUGCUGAAAAAAAAAAAAUGCAUUUUGUAGCUGAGAAUUUACUUCAUCAAAUAGCAUUGUUGCACCUUUUGUAGCUGCUGUUGUUCCCAUGGAAAUAAAGAGGAGGCAUUACUUUCAGAGCAACCUACAUACUUGUCCUUAUAUAACUGGUGAAGGAAACUCAUUUUGCUUUAACUGUCCCCUUUUUUUUCCUUUCUGAAAUCAUUAGCUGCCAAAGCACCCUGUCUACCUGUGUCCCCUCACAUCCCAGCUACUGUUCAGGAGUUUGGGUUAUUUGAUUUAAUUAUUCAAAAUCCUGAAUCUAAAAAAGUGUAGUUUCUUUGACAUUUUUUAAUUACUUGCCUUAGUUUUAAGGUGGACAGGAAAAUACAAAGUAUUUUUGUAUUUUUGUUUUUUUUCCUCCUUUUAUCUUGUUGGUAUCAUUUCUUCUGGAAUUUUUCCUGAAAUGUGAGCAGAUUUUUCCAGUAAAGCAAAGCAGAUGUUUUGCAAUGGUUUUCACAGCAAUAAGCCCCUGACAAGCUGUAGUACACGUGCCCUGUACUGCAAACAUUGCUUGAAUACUUUUACUUACAACUAGUCUCAGUAAAAUUGACAGGAAUAUUUCCCCCUUACCUGCUUGCUCUGUGGGAGAAAAUACUCUUUUCUUUACAUUUCCACUCCUUUCAGCAAACAGAUAACAAAGAAGCUACAUACACAUAUACU
ensembl:lncRNA